rnacentral:rRNA from 1 species
CCUACGGGAGGCUGCAGUAGGGAAUCUUCCACAAUGGGCGCAAGCCUGAUGGAGCAACACCGCGUGAGUGAAGACGGGUUUCGGCUCGUAAAGCUCUGUUGUUGGAGAAGAACGUGCGUGAGAGUAACUGUUCACGCAGUGACGGUAUCCAACCAGAAAGUCACGGCUAACUGCGUGCCAGCAGCCGCGGUAAUACGUAGGUGGCAAGCGUUAUCCGGAUUUAUUGGGCGUAAAGCGAGCGCAGGCGGUUGCUUAGGUCUGAUGUGAAAGCCUUCGGCUUAACCGAAGAAGUGCAUCGGAAACCGGGCAACUUGAGUGCAGAAGAGGACAGUGGAACUCCAGGUGUAGCGGUGGAAUGCGUAGAUAUAUGGAAGAACACCAGUGGCGAAGGCGGCUGUCUGGUCUGCAACUGACGCUGAGGCUCGAAAGCAUGGGUAGCGAACAGGAUUAGAUACCCGUGUAGUC